rnacentral:lncRNA from 1 species
AGAUCAAUAAAAAUUAUCACUAAGCAUCCUCCCUCCCUGGGCUUCGGGUUCCAGAAAACAACCCUUGUCCCCCAGCCCCAACUACCUAUCUGUGAAUAUACAGCAAGUGCCCCCUUGGCCUAAUUAACUAACCUCUCUGAGCCCCUGUUCUUUCUUUCCUCCAAUUAUAAAGGCCAUAAAUGCUCAUUACAGAAAAAUUGAAAACUACAGGAAAAUAGAAGGAAGAAAAGGUCACCUGCCUUAUUUAACACACAUAUUUUCUCUAUAAGGUACAUCGCAGCCUUACUAUCUGAGCGUCAUCACUGUUAACACUUUCGAGUUUUCCUUCUGGCCUUCGUUCCAUGCCUACACUUUUUCACAUAUGUAAGGAAAGACCACCUUCUUCCCAGCAAGAAACAGUAUUGGUCAUCUUGGGAGCUUCUGCUGCUGGUGGCCUAGAGAGCCAGAUGAAGGAGUAGAGAAAUGGCAGCUGACUGCAGGAUGGUACAAGAAGGGGAGGAGAGGAGAGAUACAUCCAGAAGCUGGAAACUAGUUCAGCCCUUUGAUGUCAUCCUCUAAGGAGACAGAGCAGAAUGGAGAAAACAGUUGUCUGGAACUGAGCCCAAAAUUAUCUCAGAGGUAUGCCUAUAUAAACAUGGGGCUUAGAGAAAUGCUUCUCUAGCCAGUUUUUCCCCCACUAGAGAAAGGAGAUUAAAACAUUCUAAGGAUAGAAAAAGAGUUGGAAGACUAUUCAGAGUGAGAAAUUCAUGAGAAUCUCGGCUCCUAACCAGUCCCCGAAGGUGAUCUCCAAGAUAAGAGGAUGACAGAACCCCUCAACACAUUCCGAUCUGACAGAGGAGAGGGGACUUUCACCCCGCCCCUUGUCGAGACUCCCAGGAGGUGACAGCCUUGCAGUACUUUCUUGUACUGUUAAGGCAUGGAACAGUUCUAUAGAAUGGCAACCAACAUGCUGGGGCAACCCCACAAGACUCCCUUGGCCCCAUGUAAUGUGUAAGCCAAAUUUCCCCACGUCUCCCAGUGGGGUGUAAAAGUCAACCAGUGGAGAAGAGCUGGUCCUGCAGUCAAGAGAAGGGAAAGCCGCAGCAAAGACAAACAUGGGCCAUAUGGUCCGAGGCCCAGGAAAGGCGGGCUUCAUGAUGGAUGCCAAAGUAGAAUGAGGGAAACACACAUUUGCACCUCCGAAGCUGUCAGCCUAAGGCAGAGUAUGACUGCAGACCAGCCACACACACGUGCACACACAAUCACACACACACACACUCUCUCUCCCUCUCCCUCUCUCUCUCAC